GCAGUCGAACGAACCCUUCGGGGUUAGUGGCGCACGGGUGCGUAACGCGUGGGAACCUGCCCUUAGGUUCGGAAUAACAGUUAGAAAUGACUGCUAAUACCGGAUAAUGUCUUCGGACCAAAGAUUUAUCGCCUUUGGAUGGGCCCGCGUAGGAUUAGGUAGUUGGUGGGGUAAAAGCCUACCAAGCCGACGAUCCUUAGCUGGUCUGAGAGGAUGAUCAGCCACACUGGGACUGAGACACGGCCCAGACUCCUACGGGAGGCAGCAGUGGGGAAUAUUGGACAAUGGGCGAAAGCCUGAUCCAGCAAUGCCGCGUGAGUGAUGAAGGCCUUAGGGUUGUAAAGCUCUUUUACCAGGGAUGAUAAUGACAGUACCUGGAGAAUAAGCUCCGGCUAACUCCGUGCCAGCAGCCGCGGUAAUACGGAGGGAGCUAGCGUUGUUCGGAAUUACUGGGCGUAAAGCGCACGUAGGCGGCUUUUCAAGUCAGGGGUGAAAUCCCGGGGCUCAACCCCGGAACUGCCCUUGAAACUGG
rnacentral:rRNA from 1 species